GCGGGUGUAGUUUAAUGGCAAAACUUGUGCUUCCCAAGCAUACGUCGUGGGUUCGAUUCCCAUCACCCGCUCCA
rnacentral:tRNA from 1 species